rnacentral:rRNA from 2 species
UAGGGCGGGACACGAGGAAUCCUGUCUGAAUCCGGGUCGACCACGAUCCAACCCUAAAUACUAAUACCAGAUCGAUAGUGCACAAGUACCGUGAGGGAAAGGUGAAAAGAACUGAGGUGAUCAGAGUGAAAUAGAACCUGAAACCAUUUGCUUACAAUCAUUCAGAGCACUAUGUAGCAAUACAGUGUGAUGGACUGCCUUUUGCAUAAUGAGCCUGCGAGUUGUGGUGUCUGGCAAGGUUAAGCAAACGCGAAGCCGUAGCGAAAGCGAGUCUGAAUAGGGCGCUUAGUCAGAUGCUGCAGACCCGAAACGAAGUGAUCUAUCCAUGAGCAAGUUGAAGCUAGUGUAAGAACUAGUGGAGGACUGAACCCAUAGGCGUUGAAAAGCCCCGGGAUGACUUGUGGAUAGGGGUGAAAGGCCAAUCAAACUUCGUGAUAGCUGGUUCUCUCCGAAAUAUAUUUAGGUAUAGCGUUGUGUCGUAAUAUAAGGGGGUAGAGCACUGAAUGGGCUAGGGCAUACACCAAUGUACCAAACCCUAUCAAACUCCGAAUACCUUAUAUGUAAUCACAGCAGUCAGGCGGCGAGUGAUAAAAUCCGUCGUCAAGAGGGAAACAACCCAGACUACCAGCUAAGGUCCCUAAAUCUUACUUAAGUGGAAAACGAUGUGAAGUUACUUAAACAACCAGGAGGUUGGCUUAGAAGCAGCCAUCCUUUAAAGAAAGCGUAAUAGCUCACUGGUCUAGUGAUUUUGCGCGGAAAAUAUAACGGGGCUAAAGU